UACGGGGGGGGCAAGCGUUGUUCGGAAUUACUGGGCGUAAAGGGCUCGUAGGCGGCCAACUAAGUCAGACGUGAAAUCCCUCGGCUUAACCGGGGAACUGCGUCUGAUACUGGUUGGCUUGAAUCCGGGAGAGGGAUGUGGAAUUCCAGGUGUAGCGGUGAAAUGCGUAGAUAUCUGGAGGAACACCGGUGGCGAAGGCGGCAUCCUGGACCGGUAUUGACGCUGAGGAGCGAAGGCCAGGGGAGCAAACGGG
rnacentral:rRNA from 1 species